rnacentral:tRNA from 1 species
GGCUACGUAGCUCAGUUGGUUAGAGCACAUCACUCAUAAUGAUGGGGGUCACAGGUUCGAAUCCCCGUCAGUAGCCACCA